AGAGUUUGAUCCUGGCUCAGAUUGAACGCUGGCGGCAGGCCUAACACAUGCAAGUCGAGCGGUAGCACAGGAGAGCUUGCUCUCCGGGUGACGAGCGGCGGACGGGUGAGUAAUGUCUGGGAAACUGCCUGAUGGAGGGGGAUAACUACUGGAAACGGUAGCUAAUACCGCAUAAGUCUACGGACCAAAGUGGGGGACCUUCGGGCCUCACGCCAUCAGAUGUGCCCAGAUGGGAUUAGCUAGUAGGUGGGGUAAUGGCUCACCUAGGCGACGAUCCCUAGCUGGUCUGAGAGGAUGACCAGCCACACUGGAACUGAGACACGGUCCAGACUCCUACGGGAGGCAGCAGUGGGGAAUAUUGCACAAUGGGCGCAAGCCUGAUGCAGCCAUGCCGCGUGUGUGAAGAAGGCCUUAGGGUUGUAAAGCACUUUCAGCGAGGAGGAAGGGUUCAGUGUUAAUAGCACUGUGCAUUGACGUACUCGCAGAAGAGCACC
rnacentral:rRNA from 1 species